GCCCUUGUGGAUCAUGGUAGAUCACCUCAAAGCUUUUCUGCACAACACUGGCUUGCACGUGAGGAGGCGGAGGUUCGAAUCCUCCCGAGGGCA